rnacentral:rRNA from 1 species
AGAGUUUGAUCCUGGCUCAGGAUAAACGCUGGCGGCGUGCCUAACACAUGCAAGUCGAACGCGCUCUGGUAACAGAGUGAGUGGCGGACGGGUGAGGAACACGUGGGUUAUCUACCUUGAGGUGAGGAAUACCGGCGAGAAAUCGCCGACAAUACCGCAUAGGUUUCGCAAGAAACAAAGCUUCUGCGGAAGCGCCACAA